GUGCUUGAUUCAGAAGCACAUGGACUUGAAUUGGAACAAUACAGCGAAGAUAAGCAUGGCCCAUACUUAGAAAGAGAGAAAGAAAGAGAGAAAGAAAGAGAUUUUAU